rnacentral:rRNA from 1 species
GCUUGCACUGGUCAAUCUAGUGGCGAACGGGUGAGUAACACGUGGGUAACCUGCCCAUCAGAGGGGGAUAACAUUCGGAAACGGAUGCUAAAACCGCAUAGGUCUUCGAACCGCAUGGUUUGAAGAGGAAAAGAGGCUUCGGCUUCUGCUGAUGGAUGGACCCGCGGUGCACUAGCUAGUUGGUGAGGUAACGGCUCACCAAGGCCGUGAUGCAUAGCCGACCUGAGAGGGUGAUCGGCCACAUUGGGACUGAGACACGGCCCAAACUCCUACGGGAGGCAGCAGUAGGGAAUCUUCCGCAAUGGACGCAAGUCUGACGGAGCAACGCCGCGUGAGUGAAGAAGGAUUUCGGUUCGUAAAACUCUGUUGUUAGAGAAGAACAGCGCAUAGAGUAACUGUUAUGCGUGUGACGGUAUCUAACCAGAAAGCCACGGCUAACUACGUGCCAGCAGCCGCGGUAAUACGUAGGUGGCAAGCGUUGUCCGGAUUUAUUGGGCGUAAAGCGAGCGCAGGCGGUCAAUUAAGUCUGAUGUGAAAGCCCCCGGCUCAACCGGGGAGGGUCAUUGGAAACUGGUUGACUUGAGUGCAGAAGAGGAGAGUGGAAUUCCAUGUGUAGCGGUGAAAUGCGUAGGUAUAUGGAGGAACACCAGUGGCGAAGGCGACUCUCUGGUCUGUAACUGACGCUGAGGCUCGAAAGCGUGGGUAGCAAACAGGAUUAGAUACCCUGGUAGUCCACGCCGUAAACGAUGAGUGCUAAGUGUUGGAGGGUUUCCGCCCUUC